GUACUCUCACACUCCCGAUCUUUUGGUUGGGAGCGGUGGACUUGGGUGUUGCUGCUUACCCGUGGCUCACCUCAAAUGGAGUAGUGCAACUCUUGGUUGGACAUAGUACGGCGUGAUAAGUGUCUUCGCCGGCGCCUCGCUUUAGAGGGUGGCCGAUCGGGAGCUCUGUGCUUCAAACCGUCUUCGGACAAUGACUGACA
rnacentral:misc_RNA from 1 species